GGGGAGUUGGCCGAGUGGUCUAAGGCGGUGGCCUUAAGAACUACGGUUCUAAGCCAUCCACUACGAAAGUGCGUGGGUUCGAACCCCACACUCCCCA